AUGCUAGUACCGCAUACGUCCUACGGGAGAAAGGAGGGGAUCUUCAGACCUUGCGCUAAUCUAUGAUCCUAUUUCGGAUUACCUAAUUGGCGGGGUAAAGGCCUACCCUGGCGACGAUCUGUAGCGGGUCUGACAGGAUGAUCCUCCACAGGGGGACUGAGACACGGCCCCUACUCCUCCGGCCUGCAGCAUGGGGGAAUAUUGAACAAUGGGGGGAACCCUGAUCCAGCCAUGCCGCGUGGGUGAAGAAGGCCUUAUGGUUGUAACUUACUUUAACCUAUGACGAGGCUACUUGACUUAAUACCUGCAGAUAGUGUACGUUACUCCCCGAAUGAGCCCCGGCUAACUCUGUGCCAUUAUCCGCGGUCAUACACAGGGUGCGAUCUUUAAUCGGCUUUACUGGGCGUAAAUUGCUCGUAGGCUUGCUUAUUACCCCCGAUGUGUCAUCUCCGAUCUUAACUUGCGAAUUGCAUCCGCAUACUGGUGAGCUAUAGUAUGGGAUAGCGAUGGUAAAUUCCAAGUGUACCUGCGAAAUGCAUACAUAUCUUGAGGAAUACCAAUGGCGAACGCCUCCAUCUGGUCUAACACUGACGUUUAGGUACGAAACUGUGGGGAGCAAACAGGAGGAUAUACCUUGAUACUAUAUGCCCGUAAAAUAUCUCUACUAUUCAUCGGUGCCUAUGGAGCUAUAGCUGUCCUCUCUAAACGCUAAAGUAGACCGCCUGGAGUACUACUGCUCACGAGUACUACUCACUGCAAAUGCACUUGACUGCGUGACUCAACACCAGCUGGCCGCAGCAU
rnacentral:rRNA from 1 species